CCACGUCGAUAGGCCGGGAGUGCAAGCGCGGUAACGCGCUGAGCUGACCGGUACUAAUCGCCCGAUCGGCUUGAUCGCUCUCAUGAU
rnacentral:rRNA from 1 species